GGGCCGUUGGGAGGACCGAGCAUACGACCUAAAAAUGAUCACGGAAAACUAUGGAGAAAAAAUCAUAGCCGAAGAAGUACAAGACCGACUACCGUACGGGAUGGAUUGUUUCCCAGUUCUUCACGCCGACGAACUCUGCAUUAUUCUUGCAAGGCUACUACCAGAAGGAAAAAAAGCGGAAUGCACGUACUGGGUUCGCAGAAGUCACGUCGAAAAUCGCAACUGGAAAUGUGACUUCAUUUUCGACGAAUUUUGCAGAAACCAAGCAAUUGUAGUACAUAAAAGGGACGAAUGUAAAUAA